rnacentral:pre_miRNA from 1 species
UGUGUACUCCCUCCGUUCAAAAAUACUUGACUUCCAUUUGUCCAAAAAUGGAUGUACCUAUAUACUAAAACAUGUCUAGAUACAUAUAUAUUUUGACAAAUAGAAGGCAUGUAUUGUGCAAUGGAGGGAGUAGAAU